CAGCGCCGCGGUAAUACGAAGGGGGCUAGCGUUGCUCGGAAUUACUGGGCGUAAAGGGCGCGUAGGCGGAUAGUUAAGUCAGAGGUGAAAGCCCAGGGCUCAACCUUGGAACUGCCUUUGAUACUGGCUAUCUUGAGUUCGGGAGAGGUGUGUGGAACUCCGAGUGUAGAGGUGAAAUUCGUAGAUAUUCGGAAGAACACCAGUGGCGAAGGCGACACACUGGCCCGAUACUGACGCUGAGGCGCGAAAGCGUGGGGAGCAAACAGGAUUAGAUCCCCCGUAGUCCCUGUCUCUUAUACAC
rnacentral:rRNA from 1 species